rnacentral:lncRNA from 1 species
CGAAACCCCACUUCAUUAGAGAUUGAGUUUGAAACCUUCAUUUACAUCUGGUAAUUUAGUACUUGUUCUACUUGUUCUUGCUGGUUCUUCGAUUGCUUGCAGGACGAGUGCCCUAGUGGCCGGGUGUUGCGCUCCACAAGAUCGUGACAGCCAUUGGAGGCGGUGUAUCGGUUGCUAAGGCGCAGUCUUGAGGGCUGUAGUCGGGCCGUGAACGUCAUCUCCAUUCACUAAUCGAGUUAUCCAGCGCCUCUCAUCGAAAGAUCAGGCGAAAACCCUAGUGGGUUCACAUCAGUUGGUAUCAGAGCAAGGUUUAUCGGUGAGAGAUUUCCAAUUCUUCGUGUUUGUUUUUCCUAUAGUCCAAAAAAAAGACAAAAAAUAUAGCAGAUUUGUUUUCCAUAAUCCUAUAAAUCCUUUGUGCCGUGGCUAGUACUACUUAGUUAGGGCUGGUUGAAUGAGUGUUUGCUUCGGUCGUGUCCAGUGCUGGUUUAGUUUAGUCCUUUAGAGUUUUGAGUUCUUGUCACCAUCUAGUCACAACUGCGUCCAAUCUAUUGUGGGUUGGAAUUUGAGUAGAUCUUGAUAAUAGGUGCAGCCACUUGUUGGUCUAUUCUGCGUUUCCAUCAACUAGAUCCAAAAGGAAAGAUAGCACUUCAUACUUGUGCUAGAUAUAUUGAAUUUUGAGGUUCAGCCUUACUCUAGUGAGAGGGUGAGAGUGGUGAAGUGAUAUUUUGUACUAUUUUGUUUAUAUAAUCAGGUUUUGAGGUUCCCAAAAAAAAGAAAAGAGAAAGAAAAAAAAUAGAGAAAAAAAAGAAAGAAAGAAAGAAAGAAAAAAAAAUCAAAAAAAGGGGAUUGUUGUUCCUUUUGUUUCCAGUAGGGCUGCUCAUUUUGUUUCUAGUGGUGUGCUGAGUUUUCCCUUUGUGUCCAGGCUCGCGUCUCUAGCACGGUCUAGGCUAGGACCAGCACAGUACCACCGUUGAGCGUUUAUUCAGCUCGCUUUUAUAACUAACGUGGUGCUAGUUCGUUCCUUGUUUCAGCCCACCUAUAGCUCCACAUACUCUACAGCUUGACAGGUCUUGUGCUGCAGCACCGAUACACUUCGUCCAUUGCUGUACACUUGU